rnacentral:rRNA from 2 species
UAGGUAGGUGGUCUCAUUUGUCUGGGGUGAAAGCCCAGGGCUUAACCCUGGAAGUGCCCCGGAAACGGUGAGACUGGAGUCUUGGAGAGGGUCGUGGAAUUCCCGGUGUAGCGGUGAAAUGCGUAGAGAUCGGGAGGAACACCAGAGGCGAAGGCGGCGACCUGGACAAGUACUGACACUCAACUACGAAAGCGUGGGGAGCAAACAGGAUUAGAUACCCUGGUAGUCCACGCUGUAAACGAUGGGUACUAGGUUUGGUGGGUCUUGACCCCCGCCGAACCGGCGCUAACGCAAUAAGUACCCCGCCUGGGAAGUACGGUCGCAAGACUAAA